UCGGGUGUGGUGUACGGCGCAUGGCAGCGUUUCUUAUUCCCGGUCUGAUGGCCACGCUGCAGACCGGGGUUCGACUCCCCGCAUCCGAA